rnacentral:lncRNA from 1 species
GCUCUGUCCUCACCACACAGGGCUCUGUCCUCACCACACAGAGCUCUUCCCUCACCACACAGGCUCUGCCCUCACCACACAGCUCUGUCCACUCCACACAGUGCUCUGUCCUCACCACACAGGGCUCUGUCCUCACUACACAGGCUCUGCCCUCACCACACAGAGCUCUGCCCUCACCACACAGAGCUCUGCCCUCACCACACAGAGCUCUUCCCUCACCACACAGGGCUCUGUCCUCACCACACAGGGCUCUGUCCUCACCACACAGGGCUCUGCCCUCACCGCACAGUGCUCUGUCCUCACCACACAGGGCUCUGCCCUCACCACACAGAGCUCUGCCCUCACCACACAGCUCUGUCCUCACCACACAGGCUCUGCCCUCACCACACAGCUCUGUCCACUCCACACAGUGCUCUUCCCUCACCACACAGGGCUCUUUCCUUCACCACACAGGGCUCUGUCCUCACCACACAGAGCUCUUCCCUCACCACACAGGCUCUGCCCUCACCACACAGGGCUCUGCCCUCACCACACAGGUCUGUCCUCACCACACAGGUCUGUCCUCACCACACAGGGCUCUGUCCUCACCACACAGGUAUGUCCUCACCACACAGGGCUCUGUCUUCACCACACAGGGCUCUGCCCUCACCACACAGGGCUCUGUCCUCAUCACACAGGGCUCUGUCCUUACACACAGCACUCUCUUCGCACCUUAAUAUUGGAUUUCUUGGGCUCCUGGACAGUGAGAAAUAAAUGCUCUUCGCUCUGUGCCAGCCAGUAUUUCGUAGUUUUUCAGCAUCCCAAAUCACUAAGAAAAGCCUCUAAAGAAUUAUUGAUAGCUCUCUCAGUGGCUUGCUGUGGGCCCACACUGAACUCAGGCACUUUGUAA